rnacentral:rRNA from 1 species
AUGUUAGAGGAGACAAAGUACAACUCAAGGUGGUGCCAAACUUUGAUGGCUGGUCCUAACAUUUACCAAGUGACUAGUGGAGAAAACACCUACUCAGUGAACUUGUUGGACAGAACAUGUGGAUGUAGGAAAUGGGAUAUGACUUCUAUGCCUUGCCAUCAUGCAGUUUCUGCAAUAGUGAAAGCCAAGUUGCAGCCAGAGGACUUUGUGGCUGAUUUCUUCAAAAAAGAAAUGUAUAAAAAAGCAUUUGUACAUAUCAUAUUUCCUGUGCCUGGUCCUAACCUGUGGCCAAGGACAAGAACUCAGGACAUAGAGCCUCCAGUAUUUAAAGACAAGGUUGGGAAGCAACAGACAAAGAGGAGGAAAAACCAAUUUGAGAAGCCAGCACCAAGAGAUACAUCUAGGAUGGCAUCUAUUACUUGCAGCAACUGCAAACUUGUAGGGCAUAGAUACAAUGUUUGCUCCAAGCCACUCAAGCCAGCUCUUGCUUUGAGAAUAAACCAACAUCAGCCAAACAGGUCACAGGCUUCUACUUCAACAACAAAUGCAUCUACAACUGCUGCACCACCAAGGAAGAGGCCAUCUUCAUCUACUGCUGCACCAGCAAGGAAGAGGCCAUCUCCAUCAACUACUGCUCCUACACCUGCUGCCACUACACCAGUUGCUCCUCCAAGGAGGUCUCCCAGGAAGAAAGCUACACCUGCUGCCACUACACCUGCUGCUCCUCCAAGGAGGUCUCCCAGGAAGAAAGCUACCACUGCUGGUACAACCUCUACCUCUGCUGCAGGAAACAGGUCAACCUUUCAAGCUCUAAGACAGAGUGGAAGAAAAAGGACUUCUUCAUACAAGUUGAAAGAGUACUUCUAUGCUUCUGGGAACUAG